UACGUAGGGUGCAAGCGUUGUCCGGAAUUAUUGGGCGUAAAGAGCUCGUAGGCGGUCUGUCGCGUCGGCUGUGAAAACCCGGGGCUCAACCCCGGGCCUGCAGUCGAUACGGGCAGACUAGAGUGUGGUAGGGGAGACUGGAAUUCCUGGUGUAGCGGUGAAAUGCGCAGAUAUCAGGAGGAACACCGGUGGCGAAGGCGGCUCUCUGGGCAGAUACUGACGCUGAGACGCGAAAGCGUGGGUAGCAAACAGG
rnacentral:rRNA from 1 species